CAGCAGCGACAAACAGCAGUUUACCAUCUUAUGCCCUAUUCCAUUACAGCGGUAACAUGUUUGAAAUCUUGUGAUGUCCUUCAUUAUGGGCCUUGGCCUUUCACCUCGAUUUGUCAAACAAAAAAGUAUCAUCAUUUAACUGGAGUCCCUGCAGAUAGAAGGCUCCCGCUCCCGAAACAUGCUCUGUUCACAGCUCCAGCAAAUCCCCUGUAGAAGGCACGAAAUUCAAACUAAUAUAGGAGAAGAAGAAGCCUUCACUCCAUUCUUUCCUCACUAUUCACAAAAUGAGCUGACAGUAAUAAAAAUGCACCAGGUAUGGAAAAAUGCCGUGAAUAUGCAAGAGCAUGGACCAUUGCAAUAUAAAUAAGGGAGGAGGAUGCAAUGACAACUUUAUAAAAUGGCUGUGAAAUGGAAUUUGAAGCUGGGUAUCAAGAUGUAUUAGGUGAACUUUAGCGAAAUGUUUCCUAUGAUAUCAAAUCAACAUAGAAAUUUAUGGUUGCUUUGGAAAUUUCUUUGCCACAAUGCUGCCAUCUGUUGUUUACUGUGGGUAAGUGUU